rnacentral:lncRNA from 1 species
GUUUGCUGUUUUGGUGACAUAGCCACAAUUGUGACGGUAGUUCGCGGUGGUUAAUAGCCGCACCUUUGGGUUGUGGUACAAGGGAGAUUGGUGGUGACGACAGCUAGAACUAAGGUUCCAGCGAGGUUCCAAGUAGCCGAUUUCGGGCCCAACGAGUGAAUCCCUGUCGUUGGUAGGGUUGGUGGUCAGUGCCGGUGGUGUUCGUCGUCGACGAUGUCUUCGUGUAUGCAGUUAAAGUUGUUGAAACUGUCUUCUUUCGAGCACAUUACAAGGGGCUGUCGAUUGCGGAUGAAGGAAGGUAGAGGUGGGAGGAGAGCGUGAUUGAAAUCCGUAAGAACAACAGAGGAAAUUCGAAAUACCUUUAUGAAGCGCCAAAGUUAAACAUUAACGAUGCUUCGAUUCGAUCUCUGCUGGCGUAUUCAUAUAUUCU